rnacentral:rRNA from 1 species
UGGGGAAUAUUGCACAAUGGGGGAAACCCUGAUGCAGCGACGCCGCGUGAGCGAAGAAGGUUUUCGAAUCGUAAAGCUCUGUCCUAUGAGAAGAUAAUGACGGUAUCAUAGGAGGAAGCCCCGGCCAAAUACGUGCCAGCAGCCGCGGUAAUACGUAGGGCGCGAGCGUUGUCCGGAAUUAUUGGGCGUAAAGGGCUUGUAGGUGGCGGGUCGCGUCUGCUGUGAAAUUCCAGGGCUUAACUUUGGGAUUGCAGUGGGUACGGGCAUGCUAGAGUGCAGUAGGGGAGAUUGGAAUUCCUGGUGUAGCGGUGAAAUGCGCAGAUAUCAGGAGGAACACCGGUGGCGAAGGCGGGUCUCUGGGCUGUUACUGACGCUGAGGAGCGAAAGCGUGGGGAGCGAACAGG